rnacentral:lncRNA from 1 species
UAGGUGUUUUUUGUCCCUCACGAUUUGAAGAUGUGAAGUCUGCAAUUGGUUAGUGAGACAUGAUUUUACUAUUUAUAAAUAACUAUAUUUUUCUAUAAUUUUUUUAAUAAAGUUAAAAGCCAUAAGUUGUUCCAAAAGCUUCCGCAGUUGAUUAUUGGGUUAAAUAUGUUAGAAUUUCUUUGAUUGGUGUAGGAACUGUGUAUACAUAUUUUCUUUGAUUCUGGAAAAUUUGAGUUGAAAUUGAAUUGUCUAGAGGUCAUAAGCUGUUAGUAAGCUGUUUUGGGAAUUUUGCCUUAAAUGACUAAGUUGUGGAUUAAUCUGCUGUAUAAUGUGGAUUACUCUUAUUUAUGAUUUAAUGGGUUGGAUUUUGAUAUUAGGGGUUCGUUUAAAAGCUUUCUCGCUUUCUCCUUUGUCAAUUUUUGGUUUUGGUAAGCUUUCUCCUUUCUCCUGUAAUUUGUUUUUUUUAUUAUUAUUAGUUUUUUAGCGUACAAGGUUGGUGAAUUUUGAUAUUUCAUGCUAUUUGUUUAUUAUAGUAAAAUGAUUUGCAUCGUGGAUUGAAAUGUUGGAAUAUGUACUUGGCAUGAAUGUAGAGAAACUUGAGCCAUUUUAGAUUUACUUAUUUAAGUUUUUUUAUUGACAUAAACUUUGUGAGAUUGUAAGGGAGAACUUAUGACAUUUUUCAUAAAAUUUUUCCAACUUAUUUCAUAAGUGGUCCAAGCUUAGCUUACAUAAACAGCUUAUAACAUAUACAAAAACAAGUUUAUUUUUACACAUACAAGCUUUGUGCUAUAAGUUGGAAAUAAGUUGUUUAUCGUAUUCCGGCGUACUUGUACUAUGAGUGGCGGUGGAAUCCAAUUAGUUGUCUUUGUAGAUGAGGAAAGAAGAGCCAGAGAUGGGGAAUUUGAUUUUUCUGGUGGUUUUUGUUAUCUCUGUCGUGGACUGUGUUGUUUGUGCGGUUUGUCCUAGUUGCUAAGGCGCUCUGUGGUACUGCUUGUUUUCUUUUCUUCACCUGUGGUGUCCCCUUCUUUCGCUGAUACAAGGAGGGGCUGUUUGCUCGCUAGCUUAUCUCCUAUAGCUGCUGAUACAAGGAGGGGCUGUUACGGCGUGCUGAUUUGUUCUUUUUGUAACUAGUUCUUUUGUUUAUUCUGAUAGAUAGUUGCUUCUAGUGAGGACAUAAUUUGUUGCUUAAGAUUCUCA